rnacentral:rRNA from 1 species
GAUGAACGCUGGCGGCGUGCCUAAUACAUGCAAGUCGAGCGAACAGACGAGGAGCUUGCUCCUCUGACGUUAGCGGCGGACGGGUGAGUAACACGUGGAUAACCUACCUAUAAGACUGGGAUAACUUCGGGAAACCGGAGCUAAUACCGGAUAAUAUAUUGAACCGCAUGGUUCAAUAGUGAAAGACGGUUUUGCUGUCACUUAUAGAUGGAUCCGCGCCGCAUUAGCUAGUUGGUAAGGUAACGGCUUACCAAGGCGACGAUGCGUAGCCGACCUGAGAGGGUGAUCGGCCACACUGGACCUGAGACACGGUCCAGACUCCUACGGGAGGCAGCAGUAGGGAAUCUUCCGCAAUGGGCGAAAGCCUGACGGAGCAACGCCGCGUGAGUGAUGAAGGUCUUCGGGUCGUAAAACGCUGUUAUUAGGGAAGAACAAAUGUGUAAGUAACUAUGCACGUCUUGACGGUACCUAAUCAGAAAGCCACGGCUAACUACGU